rnacentral:rRNA from 1 species
UACGUAGGGUGCAAGCGUUGUCCGGAAUUAUUGGGCGUAAAGAGCUCGUAGGCGGUUUGUCGCGUCUGCUGUGAAAACUCAGGGCUUAACCCUGAGCCUGCAGUGGGUACGGGCAGACUAGAGUGUGGUAGGGGAGUCUGGAAUUCCUGGUGUAGCGGUGAAAUGCGCAGAUAUCAGGAGGAACACCGGUGGCGAAGGCGGGACUCUGGGCCGAUACUGACGCUGAUGCACGAAAGCGUGGGGAGCAAACAGG